CACCAGUGUCGCCUCAAUUAUCCUCUUAUCAAAAUGGUUGUCUAACUGCCGCAUUUAGUUUCAAUUCUCUCCUUUUUUCUAUAAAAAGAACUUCAUACCUUGUUAUUAUUAAUCCAUUUAUUAUUUGCAAGGGGAUUUAUAUCCGAACAUCCAGGUGGUAUUACCACUUCUCUUGCAAAGAUGGACUGGGGAAAGACAUUAAGUUGGAUCCAGCGCGGCGGAGGAUCCCUCUCCCUCUCCCCUCUCCUCUCUCUCCCCUCUCUCUCUCUCACUCCCUCUCUCUUUUUUUUUUUUUUUUUAAUUUCCCCCCUUUUUCCCUCUCUUAAAUCUCCCGGCGUCCAGCUAAGCAUGAACUCCAGAGGCAGACCCCGCCGGAGAGGACUGAGCUACCGUGGAAAAUGACCAGAAAUCUACAAUCUGAGAAAACCCAUCCAUCAUCUUCAGGCAGUCUUCCAAUCUGUUAACUUUAGCUGCUACUAAUAAGUGUCUCAGUCCAGGAAAAGCAAUUAUUACGAUGUUUCACAGAAUAGCUUCCAGAUAGCAUAUGAUGCAAACUGCUUUUGGCAACAUUUCUUCUACGGAGGCAGUCUUUUCUUUUUUUUUUUUUCCUUCAGUGAGCAACUUUACCAAAGCCAACGUGAUAAAAACAGAGGUAGAGGGGCAGAGCUGUGGGAAAUGAGGACUGACCGUAGCUGCUGUGCCCGUUUACACCUUCUGGUCACAGAUUUCUAUGCUUUGUAAAACCUUUCUUAGGCAUUUUAUCAGUGUGCAGACUCCUUGAGUAAGAAUGAGAGAUAUUACAUGUGAUGGAGAUGUGGUCACUGAUGUGCUACAUCACACAGGGCCAAAUCAGGCACCCUGUUUUGACUGCAGGUUGGCUUCCAGAAAGCAAUAGUUCAUCUACUAUUUAACGUACAUAAUAUGAUACCAAACAAGCCCAAAGUCAAUGCAUAGAAUCAUAGAAUUGCCCAAAACGUUAUUUGGUAACUCAGGUGGACAUCCUGCAGAUGUAGACAGGUUGGUGGAAGAACUUAACUGAGCUCCAAAAACAAAGAGCUUCUCCUUAGAGAAGGGGAAAACCAAAUGAGGAUAGUGUCAAAGGAGCAGUGUAUGGUUUAUCUGGGACUACCUCCACCGUCACCGGUAAUGAGGGAUCUCUGGUGAGGGAUUGAGGAGGAAAAAUUGACAACAAACACAAAUUGGCAAAACUCUGCUUUAGGACCUUAGAGCCAACGCGUUUAGGAUCAGUCAGAUUAUCACAUGGUGGCACCUGGCCAAGCCUCUCCGACUAGUUUUUAUUGAAAGUUCCUCGCUACUAGCUCCUAGCUGUUCUUCAGGGAACAUCUGUAAGCAGAUGUUAGCUCACAAGUAACUUUGGAAUCAAUUCAGUCUGCCCCUGCCAGGCUCCUCGAUCUUGAUGGCUGUUGUUAGCAGAUGAUAUUCAGCGUGCGUCCAGACACCCAUCCACCUCAUCAGCCUGAAUGACUUGUCUUUUCAAUUCCACUUUCAUAGCGUAUUAUAGAUCGUCUUGGCGUGUUUGGAUUUCUGAUUGCAGACUUGCUUUCUGAACCUUGAAGAAUCUGACACUAAGAGGGAAGCACGCUCUGGAUUUCUUCGGAAAAUUUCAGAUUAAUGUGCUAGAUCUUGUUGCAUAAUAUGUAAUCCAAGCCCAGACACCCACUACUUUGCAAGCAAAAUUUUGGUCUUGAAUCCCAUUGUUGUUUGCUAGAAGAAAUGAGCUCAAUGGGACCAUGGUAUGGUAAUAAUCUUUGUUUGGCAUUUGGUUCUUGAUUAAGGAGAUACAUAUACUGGAAAGUUAGAAACUAUAAUUUGCCCAGCUUAAAUGAAGCUGUUUGGUGUAUCAAGGUACUUGCUUUAAAUCCUCCAAGCUGUUUUGUCCAGCAGAUGUGCACACACACAGACACAUGUAUUCUUAAAAUAUGUGUACACAUUCAUCCUAUUAUAUAUGCAUUCCUUACAUAUAUUAUUUUCAUAUAAUUUGUACAUCAUUAUUCCUUAUAAAUAUGUAAUAUCCCUUCUUAUAUAUUCAUCCAUAUACACACACACACAUUCCUCCUCAGUAUGUCCUCUUGCCUUUAAUUGUUGAAGACUGAUGGAUGCCAGCAAACAAUCUGGGUUUGCUGUCUAACAUGAGGGUAAGAUACAUUGCUGGAAGGUCAGCAGGUGGAGUUUGGGGGUUCCUGGCCCCCUGGACACCCUAAAAAUAAGUGCUUGGAAAGGUUGAUCUUGCCAUCAGGCUAUAGGGAGGUCUAUGUAGCACUUACAGGAACUCCAACAGUCAGACAAUUUCAAGCCUAGAAAUUAUCAUAUCCUAGUGAACUGAAAAAGCGCUACUUCUUAAUGUGUAUUAUAGCAGAACAUUCUUUUAAUUAAAUAUGUAAAUUAAAUGUGCAUGAGCAACAAAUUUCAAGUUCAAAGUCAUGCUUUGCCAUUGGUUUAGCACCAGAAAUCAUCACCGUUUUUCUAGAGACAUCCGUUUGCAGUGAGAGUGACUCUGGUUUUUCUGCUAUCACCCUCUUAUGUUAUGUUACAGCAAUAUGCUCAGCCUGCAAAGUAAAGACCAUUAAAAAGCAUUUCUUUUUAUUUUUUUAAUUUCUUUUUUUUAGAAGACACACUUGUUGCCUAAAUCUUUUCAGACCUAUCACACCGUUUAUAUGCACAACAGGUCUGUGACAGUUCUAUAUCUUUUCCAAAAACAAAAAGUCAGAGGGAAAAAAAUAAGAGUUCUUAUGUCCAAGGGUGUGAAAAUUACUCUGGUCUAGAUGCCACCAAAGCAUGAGUGUAACAGUACAUAUUUAAAAAGAAAUAAAUUACUAGAUGUAGAAUACA
rnacentral:lncRNA from 1 species